rnacentral:ribozyme from 13 species
AGAGAGAGAGAAAGUAGUAGACAUUUGUAGAGAAGCAAGAGAGCAGUUAAGAGAAGGGGGAGAUGUUUCUGUUGCUAUUUGUUUUGAUUCUUCUUCUUCUUCUUCUUCUUCUCUCUACCUUUCUAUCUCAGAUGUG